rnacentral:rRNA from 1 species
GACGAACGCUGGCGGCGUGCUUAACACAUGCAAGUCGAACGGAAAGGCCCUGCUUUUGUGGGGUGCUCGAGUGGCGAACGGGUGAGUAACACGUGAGUAACCUGCCCUUGACUUUGGGAUAACUUCAGGAAACUGGGGCUAAUACCGGAUAGGAGCUCCUGCUGCAUGGUGGGGGUUGGAAAGUUUCGGCGGUUGGGGAUGGACUCGCGGCUUAUCAGCUUGUUGGUUGGGUAGUGGCUUACCAAGGCUUUGACGGGUAGCCGGCAUGAGAGGGUGACCGGCCACAUUGGGACUGAGAUACGGCCCAGACUCCUACGGGAGGCAGCAGUGGGGAAUAUUGCACAAUGGGCGGAAGCCUGAUGCAGCAACGCCGCGUGCGGGAUGACGGCCUUCGGGUUGUAAACCGCUUUCGCCUGUGACGAAGCGUGAGUGACGGUAAUGGGUAAAGAAGCACCGGCUAACUACGUG